rnacentral:rRNA from 1 species
AUGAACGCUGGCGGCGUGCCUAAUACAUGCACGUCGAGCGAACGGACGAGAAGCUUGCUUCUCUGAUGUUAGCGGCGGACGGGUGAGUAACACGUGGAUAACCUACCUAUAAGACUGGGAUAACUUCGGGAAACCGGAGCUAAUACCGGAUAAUAUUUUGAACCGCAUGGUUCAAAAGUGAAAGACGGUCUUGCUGUCACUUAUAGAUGGAUCCGCGCUGCAUUAGCUAGUUGGUAAGGUAACGGCUUACCAAGGCAACGAUGCAUAGCCGACCUGAGAGGGUGAGCGGCCACACUGGAACUGAGACACGGUCCAGACUCCUACGGGAGGCAGCAGUAGGGAAUCUUCCGCAAUGGGCGAAAGCCUGACGGAGCAACGCCGCGUGAGUGAUGAAGGUCUUCGGAUCGUAAAACUCUGUUAUUAGGGAAGAACAUAUGUGUAAGUAACUGUGCACAUCUUGACGGUACCUAAUCAGAAAGCCACGGCUAAC